UCUAUAACAACUUUUGCUGUAUGCUUCAGUUUUGUAGUUUUUUAAAUCUGUAACAAUUUUUGCUUCAGUUUUUGUUGGCUUUAUUUUGUGUUAUGUCUGCUAUAAUAUUAAUUUUGCAUUGAAAAAAAUGUGUUUGUAUUUCUUAGGUAAUCCUGAGCCAUUACUCUUGAUAACUGCUCUUGUUCACAGCUGGUCCACUUUAUGGCUCAUCAGGUUGUUUCAUAAGCUUAUAACAGCUCUACGAACUCCCAGUAACCAUCUGCUCUGUGGCAAAUGGGCAGAGUAUCUGUCACGGAGUCGAAACAUCUCCAGACACAGAGGCAUCAGAUGGCCAGAGCUUCAGGACUACUCCACAGACACUCCUGUGCUGGCGGAUGGCAGAAAGCCGGGGCUGGGCAGAUCCGUGCUGCCUGCUUGGACCCAGUGUCCACUCCUCUGGAGAAGCGCUUGGGCUUCAGUGUCAAGGGCACAGAUCCACACAGCAGCCUUGCAGCUCACCAGCUCUGAGACCAGGCACCAUGCCCUUUCCCUCUGCACGGGGUGAUAACAGCCUGACCUGUGACAGCUGGGUGAUCUGGUGCUAAGGACUGUUUCACAUAGAAGCUGUCAGGCUCCCUCCCAGUGCGUUACAGUGGAAUCCCUAUGUUUCCUGGGCCCCUGUGUGUUUUCUUCCUCCUGAGCACAGCAUGCUAUUGUGCGUGUCUGUGCUGUCAGAGUCACCGCCUGAAGUUAACGAUGGUGGUCACAAAGUGUCACAACUGUCCUUGACUUCCCUUGCCCUCAGCCGAAGCAGCUCUGGCCCCAGCGGUGCCCUGGCCUUGGCUGGGAUGACCCCUGUCUUGCCUUACCUCCAAUCUGUGCCUGGGAGCUCUCUGCCCCGCCCUUGCCCCCACGUGGCCUUUCUAAGGUGACACCAUCAGACCUCUGCUUCCUCCUCCUCUCCUCUUUCUUGGAAUUACAGCAGAAUCCACCCUUCUGUCUCUGGAAGCCCUGCCUGACACUGAGGCUGUUUGUUUGGAUGACCUCCCAGCAUCCAUCUCUGAUCUCGGCCACCCACUCCUGGUUCCCUGGGAGGUGGGUUUGAUUUUCCCUCUUCUGUCAUGGCCAGGAUCAAAUGCCCACUGGGUGCUCAGUGCUGGCGGCAGAGAGCUGAAGCAGCGAGUUCCCACUCUCCAGGCACAAGUGAUCUAGAAAACAAGGAUGUGGGUCAUUUCAACACAGGGACGGACUUCCAAAGGUGCAGUCAUGAAACUGGACUGGAAAUGCCACGGGGGGCUUCCCAGCAGAAGUGAUGCCCCCGCUGAAUUCAGAGAAGGGGCAACGUGUGCCAAAUCGAACUAUGGGGAGAAGGGGCUGGGGCCACAGGAACGGAGGUACCAGCAAAGGCCUAAACACUUGGAGCACGGAUACGCACAGAUCAGGGCAAGCUGGACAGGCACCUGCGUGGGGAUGAAAGGAGGGGAAGGGCACUAACCCUAACCUUGGGCCAGGAGCGCCAGGCAGCCCAGCUUUGGACGUGGCUCCUCUCCAGAAAAAAUCAUCAGAUACCAGAUAAGGCAGGGGACGUGUGUGGGUGGCUGCAUGGGUGACCUCACACAGACAGUUUGACGCUGCUGCUGAUCAGAUCAUGUUCCUGCUGCUACUUUCUGGAGUGGAACUCGAGGGAGAAGUUCUUUAAACAACCUGUUUCUGAGGUUCAAAAAGAGACUCUGACACUCGGUCACUGUCCCUAGCCAGAGCCUCUCCUCCUUUCCCUGCAGGUUCCUGGAAGACGGCCCCCUCUCCUCCAAGCACAUCUGUCUCUUGGACUCUGAAUUCCACCCCUUCGCCCCUGCAGGCCCUGGGCACCCCUGCCUGGCACAGCUGAAGGUCCACGCCCUCCCUGGGGACUCCCACCAGGCCCGGGCAGUGGCUUCAUCAGUCAACACGGAAGGGGCUCCAGGGUGAAUUGUCCUUGUUUGCAGAUGAAGAAACAGAGCCUUGGUGUGGAAGGCCAGAGUCCAGCCGUAGAAGAAGCUGUGGCCCCCACUGCACUCCCCAUCUUGAGACACACCUUCCUUACCCAAUGCCGGGUGACCCAGGAACCCAAAUAUUCAAGACAGAGGCCCCAUUUAUGGCAGCCGGUGGCCCUGGGCAGGGGUGGACUGAUGUCUGCUGGAUACGGACUGUAGGGUGCGCUGGUUGCCAAUUCUGGAAUGUCCUGGAGAGCCGUGACUGGGAGGGGACACCAUCGCCCACCCCGAUGGACAAUUGUUCCCGUAUGGGAAAGUCACAGCCCCUCUCGGGCUGUGGUGAGAGGUCAAGGGCCCGAGGGAUUUAGGGUUCAGGUCAGCGUGCCAGUGAAGGAUCAGAUGCGGCCCAGGCUAGUAGCCGGGGCUGGGAUCCCGGGAGGGCAGGGACAGAACUUUGGGCAGGAACUUGCAGUUUCUCUUAAGAGGGACCUGGGCUGGUUGGCAUCUAGUACAGUGGUCAGGGAAAGGAAACAACCCGCUCAAGGGUUUAGAACAGGAAAUGCAAUAUAGUAUCUAUCGAGUGGUGAGAAAAAUACCACAAAGGGGAAGAAAAGGACCAGGACAAGCCUACAAAGCUCUCUGGUCCCGAGUCCAUCAGCUCAGCCACUUCGGGCACCAGCUGUGGUGACCAGCCACGGGGGCUCAGGUGUCCCUGGGAUGACAGUGAGUCCCACGUGGCCUGGACCCCAUGCUGGCAGUGUGGAUAACAGACACCCUUGAGUGCCCUGACUCCACUUCUCACCAGCCAGAUCUGGGGCUUGCUGUAAGACAGCUCUGGAGAUCCAAGGCCCCCUUGGGCCUCUCCACUCCCCAGGACAGGGCAGACCCUUCUCAUUAUCUGGCCUCACCCACCUCUUUACCCAGCAUACAAGCUUAAGCCAGUCACUAAUCGCAUCAUAUCCACAUUAGUGAGUUGGCAGGGCUCCUGAACACAGGGCUUUAGUAGAUUAGCUACCCUUGUUGGUCAGUGGCGCUGGUCACCGAGGGACCUUCGGAAACCAGGGAGAAGCCCUGGGAGUGCAGAGAGCCCAGGUGUGGUCCUGGCAUCCGUGGGCACAGAGGCAGGCCCCAGGAAAGUUGCCUGGACUCCUGCGGAAAGUUCUGAUGGUGCCGGUUCUCAUGUCCCUGAAGCCGUCCCUGUUGGUGUCUUCAGUUCAGUGUGAUAAGUUGUUUAAUGUGACAAAUGCAGGCCUUAUCACCUACAAGGGAUGUUGGGUGCAGCAUCUCUGCCCAUCAUCUGUCACAUCACUGCUAGGAUAUGCAAUCUCUCUCUGUGGAGGUAGCCUGAGUUUUGCUGCUAAUAUUAAUGCUGCAUGACAUGUGUGCAUCUCCGUUUCAUCAGGAAACACUUCCUCAGAGGCAGUCUCAGUGGUCUCCCAGGCCUCAGGCAAGACAUGACUCAUGCACUAGGUGCCUCGAGAAUGCAAACAUGCACGUGCCUCAGUUCCCCCAUGAGAAUGUAAACAUGCACGCGUCCCAGUCCUCUCUCGAGAAUGCAAACACGCACACGUCCCAGUCCUCCCUCGAGAUGUAAACAUAAAUGCAUCCCAGCUCCGCCUUGAGAAUGUAAACGUAAAUGCAUCCCAGUUCCUCCUUGAGAAUGUAAAAUAAACAUGCACGUGUGCCAGUC